rnacentral:rRNA from 1 species
UAAAACUUUAAUAAAAUGGCGGCAUAUCAUCUUACUAGAGGAACCCGUUUUAUAAUCGAUUGCACACGAUAAUUUUUACUUAAAUUACAAAAUUUAUAUAUCGCCGUUACAAGAAUCUAUUAUAAAAAUAUUAUUCUUAAUAAAAUUUAAGAAAUUAGGUCAAGAUGCAAUUAAUAUUUAAGAAAAAAUAGGUUACAUUAAAAACAAUUUAUAGAUUAUUUAAUUAAAAUAAUAUAUAAAAAAGGAUUUAUAAGUAUUAUCCAAUUAAAAAUAUAAAAAC